rfam:Equus caballus chromosome 9, whole genome shotgun sequence.
GGAUGUGAGGGCAAUCUGGCUGUGGCAUCUGUCACUCCACUGAUCACCAGGGUUGAUUUGGCUGGGCUGGCUGGCUAGGUGGGUGUCCCCUUCUUCCCUCACCGCUCCGUGUGCGUCCCUCCUGAAGCUGCACACUCUGGUUGAAGAGGACGACCUUCCCGAUAGAGGAGGAUCGUUCUUCCAUCAGGGGUAUACGAAUAGCUGUGCUCUCCUGCUAGAACCUCCAGACAAGCUCUCAAGGGCCAUUUGUAGGAGAACGUAGGGUAGUCAAGCUUCCAAGACUCCAGACACAUCCCAGUGAGGUGCUGCAUGUGGCAGUCUGCCUUUCUUU